UACGGAGGAUGCAAGCGUUAUCCGGAAUGAUUGGGCGUAAAGCGUCCGCAGGUGGCUGUGUAAGUCUGCUGUCAAAGAGCGAAGCUCAACUUCGUAAGGCAGUGGAAACUACACGGCUAGAGUGCGUUCGGGGCAGAGGGAAUUCCUGGUGUAGCGGUGAAAUGCGUAGAGAUCAGGAAGAACACCGGUGGCGAAGCGCUCUGCUAGGCCGCAACUGACACUGAGGACGAAGCCAGGGAGCAAACGG
rnacentral:rRNA from 1 species